rnacentral:rRNA from 1 species
CCUACGGGAGGCAGCAGUCGAGAAUCUUCGGCAAUGGGCGCAAGCCUGACCGAGCGACGCCGCGUGUGGGAUGAAGGCCUUCGGGUUGUAAACCACUGUCAGAGGGGAUGAAAUGCAGGUGGGUUCUCCCAUCUGUUUGACAUAGCCUCAGAGGAAGGACGGGCUAAGUUCGUGCCAGCAGCCGCGGUAAGACGAACCGUCCGAACGUUAUUCGGAAUCACUGGGCUUAAAGGGUGCGUAGGCGGCGCGGAAAGUUGGGUGUGAAAUCCCUCGGCUUAACCGAGGAACUGCGCCCAAAACUACCGUGCUCGAGGGAGAUAGAGGUGAGCGGAACUUAGGGUGGAGCGGUGAAAUGCGUUGAUAUCCUAAGGAACACCGGUGGCGAAAGCGGCUCACUGGAUCUCUUCUGACGCUGAGGCACGAAAGCUAGGGUAGCGAACGGGAUUAGAUACCCCGGUAGUCCUAGCCGUAAACGAUGAGCACUGGAUUGGAGGGUCCUCCAUAGCCUUCCAGUCGCAACGAAAGCGUUAAGUGCUCCGCCUGGGGAGUAUGGUCGCAAGGCUGAAACUCAAAGGAAUUGACGGCUGAGACGNGCGAGCGACGACGAGGGAGGAGG